rnacentral:rRNA from 1 species
CCUACGGGAGGCAGCAGUAGGGAAUCUUCCGCAAUGGACGAAAGUCUGACGGAGCAACGCCGCGUGAACGAUGAAGGCCUUCGGGUCGUAAAGUUCUGUUGUUAGGGAAGAACAAGUGCUAGUUGAAUAAGCUGGCACCUUGACGGUACCUAACCAGAAAGCCACGGCUAACUACGUGCCAGCAGCCGCGGUAAUACGUAGGUGGCAAGCGUUGUCCGGAAUUAUUGGGCGUAAAGCGCGCGCAGGCGGUUUCUUAAGUCUGAUGUGAAAGCCCCCGGCUCAACCGGGGAGGGUCAUUGGAAACUGGGAAACUUGAGUGCAGAAGAGGAAAGUGGAAUUCCAAGUGUAACGGUGAAAUGCGUAGAGAUUUGGAGGAACACCAGUGGCGAAGGCGACUUUCUGGUCUGUAACUGACGCUGAGGCGCGAAAGCGUGGGGAGCAAACAGGAUUAGAUACCCUGGUAGUCCACGCUGUAAACGAUGAGUGCUAAGUGUUAGGGGGUUUCCGCCCUUUAGUGCUGAAGUUAACGCAUUAAGCACUCCGCCUGGGGGAGUACGGUCGCAAGACNGAAACUCAAAUGAAUUGACGG